rnacentral:tRNA from 1 species
GUCGUUGUAGUAUAGUGGCGAGUAUCCUCGCCUGUCAUGUGGGAGAUCCUGGUUCGAUCCCCGGCAACGUUG